UCGUUCAUUGUGAGAAUUUGAUCUCGUGAGUUAUCGUAAAAGCUGUAUUGAUCAUUAACCCGGUUUUUGUGAAAUUCGUUAAGGUUCGAAUCUCAUGACUACCGUUAAGGUUUGAUUUGGGUUUUACACCAAUACGUAUUCUAUUCUGUUAAACCACCAAAAACACUCCCAACUACACCCUUACAAUCAAACAAACUAUUAAAUCAUCAGAAGAUCCAGAAUAAUAAAGUACAUGCUUAACUAUCGGGAAAAGUAGAAUCAAGAAGUUUGUUAACUCAAUCCUGCAUGAUGAUUAGUAAUUACAAUAGAUUGGAGUAAGGAUUGGAUCCGACACUGAAGGACUUCAAGAAGUGGCUUAUUUUCAAAUUAAGAAAUAUUGUUUUUAUUAAAAGCUACCUUUGUAAAACUUGGAAUUAAUUCCAUC
rnacentral:lncRNA from 1 species